UCGACGAGGCUAGGCCUAGCGUCGCGGGGAGCCGGGGCGAUGGGGGAGAUGCUCCAAGACAAGGUUGGCGGCGCCGUGGAAACGCCUGGCCUCUCGAUGAUAGGGUUUUUCCCGACCGGAAAAGAUGUUUCUCUGGAGGAAAGUCUGUUGAGUGUUUGGGCUUCCAAACACGUAGAAGUAAAAACUCCAGAGAAAUGUCCGCUUGGGCUUUCUUCCUGGAGAAAAUGCCGGGAAACAGGUGGGUUUUUAUGGUACCAAACUGUCCCUUAGAGUAACAAAAUGGUACAGUUUUUUUAGAGCAACAGAAUGGCACAGUUUGGCGUACCGUGCAUGUGGGCUGGGAGAACCAGAUUUGGCCCAAUAAGUCUCCAACACCAGUUGUCACGAUUCCAUGGUCAUCGUUUUUACAGAAACGUCCCUAAACUUAUGUCUAAUUAAAACCCACGGUCCAACUUAUCUGUUUCCACCGUCCCGCUGAACCCGCACCCAACAGAAACGCGCAGCUUUCCUAACGCGCGCAGAGCCGCCUUCUCAACCUCCUCCCGGACGGCACGCUCUCCGCAGCUUCCUCGCCAUCUCAUCCACCCAUACCGCGUGCAGCUUCUUCAACCUCUCCCUCCCUCCGAUAUCUCGUCUCCCAUCCUACGGCGGAGCCCUCGGGGACAACCACGAGUGCCUAAGAUCCCGUCCUCUGCGUUGACCAUCGAGGGAUCGCCAUGGCGUUGAGGGCGUCCCCCGUGUCGCAUCGCAUGGCGCCGACCGCCGAGGGCCGAGGCAGCGCCACUGCCGCUGUUCGCGCGGAGGAGGAUGGCCCGUGGGGUGUAAGUGGCCAUGGCGUCCACCACCAUCAACAGGUGAGCACAGUGGAUCCCUCGCCUCUCGCUGUCUUCCUGACCUACAGUUCGAGGCAAGUCGCGGCGCCGUCGACCCCUUCGCGGGUGCCAGAGUUACUGGACUUGGAUUAUGCCUCAGCAGUUAGCAGUUAUUCAGUGUGUGAUCGUGCAAGGAUCUGCUGACAGAAAGCAGUUGGCGAUGGAGCAACUGCUGUAAGAGAGAAGUGAUCAGGAUCCAUAUGGCCGGCCUUGGAUUGUCCAGCCGUCUUCCAUGUCGCCCCGCACACCAUCUUUAGAUUGUUUUGCCAGUGCUGGUGCGCAGGGAGCCGUAACUGCAGGUCAUUUCGGAAGAUGCCAUUCUUUGGACAUUGAAAAGAAGCAUGUUAAUUUGAUAGAUGAGUAGUCACAAAAGCUAAUAUCCAGUGGGUAGUUUGAUGGAAAGGAACUAGACAGGUAACCCUAUUUUUCCAACCAGUGGUGCGCUUUCGUUUCCAUAUAACCGUUGUGCGUUAAUAUUUUAUCAAAUAAUUUAUAUACCGUCGCAACGCAUAUAUAUUCUACUAGUAUAACUUUAUUUUUCAGCUCUGUUUGUGAAGGAGUUGACUUGGUCGCAGACGUUAUGGUAGAAGUGUUUGACAAAAGAGCCCGGCCAACUGAAUUUCCUAAGCCUGAGGGCUGAUACUGAGUUUGGACCGGCGAUAACUGGGCAUUUUCAAAAAUGUUUGGAACAAAACUCUUGGGUGAAUUGUGAAAUCAAAAUUUUGAGUGUACAAUUUCAGAAAAGAAAAAAUUCGCCCCCAGCGAAAACCAGGGAAUUUCCGAAAUGUCGGGAAUUCUAGUUCAAAAGCAAAUAGGGUUUUAAAAAGCGGUAUAAUUCAUAUUAAAAUGCCAAUUUCGGAAAUAUAUAUAUUUCGGACCCACCAAAACUCAAGAAAAUUUCGGAGAUUUCUGCCCGAAAUUGGGAACCCUGCUCUCGAAAGCUUGGCCUUCAAAACUCGAAUUUUUACCAAUAGGUUCCACAAAUGAAACGUCUACUCAAAUUUUUGGAGAAGACAAAAGUUUGAACAUUCCAUCAUGUAUAUUUAAUAUCUAAGGUUACAUUCAUGGUCAGAGUUUCACAAGUAUUCAUAAAUGCAGGGAGAACUCUUCUCAAGUGCUUGUCGUUUUGAACAGCUCGGUGCUAAAAAAAAAUGGCAUUAAAUAUUUUAGUAUCGUGAACCCAUGCUUUUCAAAACAAGUGACAGGAUGAUGAUGACCAGCCUAAAUAGCUAAAUAACAAUAUAAUGUCCAUGGUCAGAGUUUGAUGAGUUUUGGGAACCUGCAGGGCAUCUGAGUUGGGCCAGGAAGCUGAAAUGUCUUUUACUGAGAUGGUAAUAUAUGGUAUACGCCUAUAGAAGCUACAAAGCCAUGGAAAGACCAGAACAUACCUUGUUGGAACAGUCCCAAAUCUUCGAGUGCUUGUUGUGAUGUCUAUGGACAUUGGACAGUGAUAAAUGAUGACGCAACUGACAUACAUCCGCUUAUCUAGAAAACAAAGGGAGGGAAAAUAUAAACAGAACAGUAAGAAACGAGCUAACAACUAUGCAUUUCUUUCUAGCAAAAUUCUUCUUGCAGUGGAGAGCAGAGAUCAGUAAUAUGCCGACUGACCUGCAAGCUGAAGCAGAAGGGGUCCAUGGAGCGAGCUGAGGUCGCACAACAAGCGCAGCAAGCUGUGGCGGCGGCUGCUGCUGCUGCUGUAAGUGCAGAAUGGAAGGUGAUGAAGGAUGCAUGGAUUCAGAGGCUUGCCAGCAAGCUGUGGUUGUUUGGGUGGAGAGCCUCAAGGAGUUCUAGAUCUGACUUCUAUAUACCAAGUCCCGUUGCCAAGUCAAGUCAACUAAAGAUACAAAGUCAUCUAAUGAAAUUAAUGACCAACUCAGGCUCAGACUCGUCCUCGAGUUUCAUUUGUUUUUUCUCCACCGAACAACACACCCACUCAUCUCCCUUUGCCUGAGAGUUUGGCCAAGCAACUCGCGACAAACACGUCCCUCCCGUAUUGUCAGUCUCUUAGGUGCCGUUUGGUUCACAUAUUGGCAACGUAAUGGGUAACCAAUAACGUUAGAUCAUAUGUUUAUUUAAGUCCAACCGUAAUCGAUAUCACACUACAAAUGGAUACCUCCUUAUUCAAAUUUGUUACCACCGGUAUUCAAGUGUGAAUCGUUACCAUUUACGUUACAUUUCGUGAAUCAAACGGCACCUUAGGUUGGAUGGGACAUGUCUGUUCUAGUUUUGUGGAAUGGCAUGCAGUGUCUGUGUCCACGGGCGAACUGGAAGACGACCCGAUGAUUAGACCAUAACCUAACAUGUAACCAGUAACUGUUGGUAGGUGGUUCAGAGUGAAAGUAGCUGUAGUGUGUAAAGUGGUAUCAGCUUUGAAGUCUGUAUGUUUUAAUAGUUGCUUCUCAAAGAUCAAAAUAGUCGAUCAGAGAGUGUGAAGAAGAAAAAAAAUACUUUGAAAAUUUGACUGCUGUCCCGAUUUCAACCCCAAAGCUCAAGAACACCAUAAAGGAG